rnacentral:rRNA from 1 species
UACGGGAGGCAGCAGUGGGGAAUAUUGCACAAUGGGCGAAAGCCCGAUGCAGCUAUGCCGCGUGUAUGAAGAAGGCCUUAGGGUUGUAAAGUACUUUCAUCGGGGAGGAAAAAACAAAACUAAUAAUUUUAUUUCUUGACGUUACCCGAAAAAGAAGCACCGGCUAACUCCGUGCCAGCAGCCGCGGUAAUACGGAGGGUGCUAGCGUUAAUCAGAAUUACUGGGCGUAAAGAGCACGUAGGUGGUUUUUUUAAAGUCAGAUGUGAAAUCCCUGGGCUUAACCUAGGAACUGCAUUUUGAAACUGAAAUACUAGAGUAUCGUAGAGGGAGGUAGAAUUCUAGGUGUAGCGGUGAAAUGCGUAGAUAUCUGGAGGAAUACCUGUGGCGAAAGCGGCCUCCUAAACGAAUACUGACACUGAGGGUGCGAAAGCGUGGGGAGCAAACAGGGAUUAGAUACC